AAUAUGGCACAAUGGAGGGAACGCUGAUGCAGCGACGCCGUGUGAACGAUGAAGGCUUUCGAGUCGUAAAGUUCUGUCCUAGGGGACGAUAAUGACGGUACCCUAGGAGGAAGCCCCGGCUAACUACGUGCCAGCAGCCGCGGUAAUACGUAGGGGGCGAGCGUUGUCCGGAUUUAUUGGGCGUAAAGGGUACGCAGGCGGCCAUGUAAGUCAGAUGUGAAAGACCACAGCUUAACUGUGGUAAGCAUUUGAAACUGCUUGGCUUGAGUUAAGGAGAGGAAAGUGGAAUUCCUAGUGUAGCGGUGAAAUGCGUAGAUAUUAGGAAGAAUAUCAGUGGCGAAGGCGACUACCUGGACUGAUACUGACACUGAGGUGCGAAAGCGUGGGGAGCAAACA
rnacentral:rRNA from 1 species